rnacentral:rRNA from 1 species
CCUACGGGUGGCAGCAGUGAGGAAUAUUGGUCAAUGGUCGCGAGCCUGAACCAGCCAAGUCGCGUGAGGGAGGACGGUCCUGUGUAUUGUAAACCUCUUUUGUCAGGGAACAAAAACCGCCACGCGUGGCCUUCCGAGAGUACCCGAAGAAAAAGCAUCGGCUAACUCCGUGCCAGCAGCCGCGGUAAUACGGAGGAUGCGAGCGUUAUCCGGAUUUAUUGGGUUUAAAGGGUGCGCAGGCGGAAGAUUAAGUCAGCGGUAAAAGUGAGAGGCUCAACCUCUGCGCGCCGUUGAAACUGGUUGUCUUGAGUGAGCGAGAAGUAUGCGGAAUGCGUGGUGUAGCGGUGAAAUGCAUAGAUAUCGCGCAGAACUCCGAUUGCGAAGGCAGCAUACCGGCGCUAAACUGACGCUGAUGCACGAAAGUGUGGGUAUCGAACAGGAUUAGAUACCCGUGUAGUC